CCUACGGGAGGCAGCAGUGGGGAAUAUUGCACAAUGGGGGAAACCCUGAUGCAGCAACGCCGCGUGAGUGAAGAAGUAUCUCGGUAUGUAAAGCUCUAUCAGCAGGGAAGAAAAUGACGGUACCUGACUAAGAAGCCCCGGCUAACUACGUGCCAGCAGCCGCGGGAAUACGUAGGGGGCAAGCGUUAUCCGGAUUUACUGGGUGUAAAGGGAGCGUAGACGGUGUGGCAAGUCUGAAGUGAAAGCCCGGGGCUCAACCCCGGGACUGCUUUGGAAACUGUCAUGCUGGAGUGCUGGAGAGGUAAGCGGAAUUCCUAGUGUAGCGGUGAAAUGCGUAGAUAUUAGGAGGAACACCGGUGGCGAAGGCGGCCUGCUGGACUGCGACUGACGUUGAGGCCCGAAAGCGUGGGGAGCAAACAGGAUUAGAUACCCGUGUAGUC
rnacentral:rRNA from 1 species